rnacentral:lncRNA from 1 species
AAUUUAAUUUUUUCAUGUUAUACUUUAAUUUAUUAUUUCAUAUAAAAUUAUUUAAAUUAUUUAAAAUUUUUUAAAUUCUUUAAUAUAUCCAAUUGAUGAGGUUUGAAACAUUCAAUGAAUAAUUUUAGCAAAUAUAAAAACUAAACCUUAAAUUUAGAAUCUGUAAGAAAAAAAAUCCAAUUUCUAAUGAUAUACAUAAUAAAAUUACUGAAUUCAUCAUAUAUUUUUUUAAUAAAAACUAAAGAAUAUUAAGUUAUAAUUUGAUAAGCUUAUUAUCUCUACAAAGUUGUAAUACUUAGCACCACUAUGAGUUUAACUCACAUUUGAUUAAAAAAAUCCUUGUCUCUUGAUUCUUUAAUAUAUAUAUAUAUAUAUAUAUAUAUAGCUACACAUUUUAAUGCU